rnacentral:lncRNA from 1 species
AUUCGAAGUUUGGAUCUUGAGCUUGGAAUAGCUCAAAGCUCUCCUGAAUUUUCCCCAGAAUCUGGAGUAAAGAAAUUCAUCUGUAAAAUAUUGUUACUCAAGUGUUUAUAGAUGUUAUAGUUAAUGUGAACUUUGCAAAAGGAUAUUCUUUAACAGAAACAUCACAUACCAACUCUGCGAUCAACCCAGGAAUCCGAUUUCCCAAAGGGAUCUAUUCCUGUCAGAAGAUGAUUUCUGAAGAAGUCUGUUGGCUAAGAUACCCAAAUGCAAAUGUGUAAUUCCAAUUGCUAUUGUACUAAAUUUCCUUGUUUCUAUCCCCCAGUCCUGGUUUCUAAACUUCUAUCUUAGGGGCUGACUCUCCCCUUGUGACCUGUCUGCCCAUCAGGGAAAGCAGUCGCUGGACAUCCCUCACAUCUCCAAGCAGAUUCCCAGCUACCUGACCAUAACUAUUGCUUUCCUUAAAUUUUGGGUCUUCUCCUAUGUUUUAAAUCAUGCAUACUCAUUCAGCUGGACAUAUAAUCUCUGAUUCAUCUCUCUAGUUGCUUCUAGGGUAAAAGCACUCAUAGGAGUCACUCAGAUGCCAGAUGCCAGCAUAACCUCGGCAAACAUACCAGCCUGACGCUCUGGACACAGCCUACAGUCAAUACCUCUCUCUCCUAAUGGUGACCUUCCAUUGGAACCCAUCACUCUCUUCUUUUUCGGAAAUUCUUUCAGUGGCUUCUCCCCACUUGUCCUCAAGCUCUCCUUCAGUUGUCCAGGAUUUUUCAGUCUAGGAAUUUCUAGAGCACAAAGUUUUAUUUUGACCUUGGCAGAAGGAAAGGGAAGGAAGAAAGAAGAAUAUGAUGCACCUCUCAGUUUAUACAGUUCUUUCCUCACAACAAUCUGGUAAAUGCCUGCUUCAGCUACCUUCUUGGCUGUUGGGACAAAUUGUUCUCAUCCAUCUGUUCAUCUGGACAAGGUCUUCAAAUACUUGAGGUAGUUAUGCUCACCAGUUCAUUGAUUGGUUUGCAGACUGUCAGUUACCCACAACCUGGCUUAGCCCAUCUGCCAACAUGGAUUUACUAGGAUGUGACUGCUGUGCAUGCUGCAUCUUCUUGGAGUCACCGGUGAGAGUUGGGUGAAAGGCAAACACUAAAAGGUGGCUGAGCAGCUCUGCAAGGGGGACUAGUCCUUCAAGAACACCUCAUAUUUCUCAGCAACAAGAUAUCCAGAGCUUGGUGCAUUGUAAACAGUUAAUAAAUGCUUAUUGAUUAACUGAUGGAUGUGUCA